GAUGAACGCUAGCGGCAGGCUUAAUACAUGCAAGUCGAGGGGCAGCACGGUUAGCAAUAACUGGUGGCGACCGGCGCACGGGUGCGUAACACGUAUACAAUCUACCUUAAACAGGGGAUAGCCUUUCGAAAGAGAGAUUAAUACCCCGUAAUAAAUUGAACGGCAUCGUUUGAUUUUGAAAGCUCCGGCGGUUUGAGAUGAGUAUGCGUCUGAUUAGCUAGUUGGGGAGGUAACGGCUCACCAAGGCGACGAUCAGUAGGGGAUCUGAGAGGACUAACCCCCACACUGGUACUGAGACACGGACCAGACUCCUACGGGAGGCAGCAGUAAGGAAUAUUGGUCAAUGGAGGCAACUCUGAACCAGCCAUGCCGCGUGCAGGAUGACGGCCCUAUGGGUUGUAAACUGCUUUUAUACAAGAGAAAACCCUGGUACGUGUACCAGGUUGAUAGUAUUGUAAGAAUAAGCAUCGGCUAACUUCGUGCCAGCAGCCGCGGUAAU
rnacentral:rRNA from 1 species